UCCCUGGUGGCUCAGAGGUUAAAGCAUCUGCCUGCAAUGCAGGAGACCCAGGUUCAAUCCCUGGGUCAGGAAG
rnacentral:tRNA from 1 species